AUUUCUUUCUCCGACUGGUGUCUUUUGGGAAGCGGUACAGUCGGAAGCCCUUCUCCGUCCUAUUGGUGCACCCAAAAGCAGCACAGCAAACCAUGGUGGAAAUGAUUCUGCUGCUACUGCAUGAGACUGCUGCUGUUGAUGGGACGUGCUUUUGCCAGACAUGGCUUAGUUGCAGGAGGCUGGGGGCUGCCCCCUUGCAUGGAUGAGGCAUAAAUGCAAUUUUCUAGUGUGCAGUGUUCAGUGUUCACUUGAAUUUUGUGGAGUACUGUGACUCAGUGAAUUUAAAUGUAUUACUUUAAUAAAUGUUAAUGACACGUAGGAAUGGGCAGCAUAGUUGCAAUGCCUACUCUUGCCACCCGUGUAAGAUGAGAUAACUAACUUUUAGUGUCUGUUUUCACAGAAAUGUGUCUAGCGUGACACUUCUCCACAAUCCACAUGUAAACAGGCAUUUAAAAACAAUAUGGCCAUUUGUCUUGUCCUCUAGAUUCUCUAGGCCCAAGCCGUUAGGGCAGCACAAUACAAUAAAUUAAGCUUAAGUUGCCAAAAAAAACUUAAAAUAUUCCUCUGUGGUAUUAAAAAAAUAUAUGCUUUCCAUGUAGAUGUGUGCAUUCUACUGUUCUCCACUUCUGUUAAGCAAUACUAUAGAAUGAGGGAGAAAAUGGUGUUUAUAUUUAUUUUUUUCAGCAGCAAGGCAUUCUAAAAUUUCUUGCAGAAGGGAGGAGUGCUAAUUAUUGGUUUAGCAAAGGGUCCAGAGCAAUCUUGUCUGCCAUUCUUGCUGUGUGAUCCAUUUAACUUUCCAAUAAAUGUCCCUCCAGGUUGUGGCCUACCAUUUUGGCACUGUACCUUUAAACAAAGUAUUGGGUAGGCUGUGGCAUUCCAACAAAUACAAAGUAUUAAUUGGUUCUAAUUGGCCCAAAUUGUGCUAAGAAAAUAUCCCUAUGCCAUUCUAUCUCCUGCAUGAAACGUUGAUGUAAUACAGGGUUGAUCCAUCUUUUCAUGUUGUUGUCGACAAAUUCUGUCAAUUCCACCUGAGUGUAGAUGUAGAUAUCAAAACUCAUCAGACCAGGCAACAUUUUUCCAAUCUUUUAGUGUCGUGUAUGGUGAGCCAGUCCAAAUUGUUGCCUUAUUUUCCUGUUCUUAGCUGACAGGAGUGGCAGCAAAUGUGCUUUUCUGCUGCUGUAACCCAUUUGCCUCCAGAUUUGAUGUGCUGUGUAAUCAGGGAUUCUCUUAUGCAUACCUUUGUUGUACAGAGUUGUUAUUUGACUUAAUGUUGCCUUUGUAUCAGCUCCAACCAGUCUGGCUAUUCUCCUCUGACCUCUGCCAUCAACAAGACAUUUUUUGCCCACAGAAUCUCUGCUCACCCUUUUUCCCCCCUUACCAUUCUUUGUUAACCCCAGAGAUGGUGUGUGAAUAUCCCAGCAGAUCAGUCUUUUCUGAAAUAUUCAAAUCAAUCCCUUUCAGCACCAACACCCAUGCCAUGUAUUUAAAUAAAUCUCUCUCUCUUUUUUUUCUCCUGUCUGCUCCACUCUGGUCAUAGGUUGAUGCUUUCAAUGCAUUGGAAGUUCCAGCAUGUUUCCAGUUCCAGUGAAUUCCAAUUCUUCAUGCAUUAUUGAUUUCACGAACACACACACACACACACACACACACACACACACACACACACACACACACACACGUCUUGUCAUGUACACAGACAUGCCGUUUUAUUCAUAGUUAUUUUGUUUGGGUUGUUUAUGUUUCUAUACCAAUAUAAUUAUUAUUAUUUGGAGUAAUUUUUCUUUCAAAUAAAAGAUUGAACCAUUCAA